CUCAGAGCAGGAGAGAGAAGUACAGAGGAAGAGGAAUGCGAAGACCCCGGUUUCCUCUUCUCAUAUACUGGCACAUCAAGCAAUGUAAUACACAAUUCAUUAGUCAUGAUACACAGACUGCUUACUGUCUCCUGCUGUUCAAAUUCAAGAGCACACUGAGAACAUGUCUGCAUAAGCACACUCAAAGAUCCCUGAUUUAUUUUCUUCAAUCAAAAUGUGGUCCCUAGGUCUUGUCCUAUAUAUCUUUUUCAUGGAUUUUUAAAUUUGUUUAAAAAAAUAAUUUUGUAAACAGUCAUAUCAAAAAUCUAGUGGGUGGGAGGUGGUUGCCAGUGUCUACUUUUACUUCUAAUCUCUGCCAUGGCUCCAUUUAUAAGCCAUGAAAUACAUGAUUUUCAUAGAAUUUUAAUCUGGUUAAGUCUGAAAGACCCCAAGACCAUCCAAAGCACAGCUCUUUUUACUAGAACUUUCUCAAAUACAUUCUAACAC